AGAGGCUAUGCGUAAGGAAGUUCAAGAAGGGAUGAGGAAACAGAGAGAAAAGUCGUUGAAUCUUCCAAAUAGCGAUGUAAGUGUUUUUUCUUGCCCAGUAUUCUAGUAUUGUCUUCAUUCUUCAACAAUCUAAAAUUGAGUUCAAGUCUAGGCGGUUUCUCAUUUCGUUGAAUGCUAUUAAUAAGAGUGACUGCAAAUUAUCCCUUACUGUAAAUUUCUCAAUUCCUUCAUCCUUCGUCCAAUCCAUGCCCAUGAAUCUCUCGACUAACUAGGGGUGCUCAUCGGUAAAAAACCGAACCGGUACCGAAAAACCCGGAAAAUCAAGAACCAGUACCGGUACCGAAUAACCGGUUUCGGUACUGGUUCGGUACAAAGUUGGUACCGGUUUUUUUGGUUCGGUUUUCGGUUAUACCGCAAUAAUUAAAUAAUUUUUUUUAUAUUAACAAUUUUUUUAAAACUAAGAAAUGAGACUAGUAAAUUACAUUCUUACAAAUACUAAUUACAAUUGUUAGUCUAAGAGUAUUUAACUAUCAUAGUUGUAGUAAAUAGUAAUAAAUAACCAUAUUAAAAUAUCGCAUUUUUAAUACAUGAAAUUAGGGGAGAGGAAACAAAACAAAAACGUGUGUAUUUAAUUAUACUUACAAGGUUGGUUGGAGUUUACCACUUUGCAGAAAUCAUAUUUUCAAGUAGGUUGUUCCCGGGUAUUUCCAUGAUUCCAUCCGAAAGGUUUUUGACUUUUAGUACUAAUUUUAAAAAUAAUAUUGGAAAUUUAUGUCAUAUUUGUUAAAGUCUCUAAUAUAACAACCAAGGUGGUAAAAUAAACAUACAAAUAUUAUUAUCCAUUAUGAAUACUUUUACAUAUCUAUAUAUAAAAUUGGCUGCGUCGCACUUGGUCUCUUUGGUAUCACAACACUAUUUCUCUGAAUUCAGCCCCUAAUUAAAAAAAUUCAUAUUUUAUCCUUAAAAUUUAUUUAUAUUCAUUUUUUAUCCUUUAAACUAAUUUAUAAUCUUUAAAAUUAAUUAUAUAUGAAAUAUAAUUUUUAGAAGCAAUACUUGUUUAGGAUUAUAUAUAUGUAUAUCAGUAUAUGUAUAUGUUUAUUGUUUAAAACCAAACACCAUAAUACCAUAUGCUUUUGCAAUGUCAAAAGCAAGUGUAAAAUCCCCAAAUUCUUAGAAUCCUUUCCUUUCUUUUCUCUUUUAUUUUUCUAAAAUCCAAACAAAGCACUAGUAGCCAUCAUUCUAUCCCACAAUACUACAGUACUACAUCUUCUACUUUUCCUCUAAACGGGCAGGCACAGGCCCAAAUCAUUGGUUGGUGUUGGUUUUAUAUCUGAAAGGGCUAAGUUAAUAUCCAAUAUGACAAUUUAGUCUUUUCGGUUUUUUUUUUAGUUUUUCGGUAUUUACCGAAUUCAAAAUUUUUAUUACCGCUACCGGUACCGAAAAGUAUAAAAUAAUCGAAAAACCGGUACCGAAAAAACCAGGGCCGGACCUGAGUUUUUAAUGGCCUAAAGCGAAAAUAAAAAAAUUUGGGCCUAUUUCAUUGGGUAAAUUUUUGUGAUCCUUUAAAUUUAAAUUGACGUGGACUGGUCUCUUUUGUUUGAGUAUAUAUAUACAUAACACAAAUAUCUCUUGAUGGCCCUAAAAAUUUAUCAAUUUAAGUGGGCCUAAAGCCCAGGCACUUUGGGCUUUAGCCCAGGGCCGGUGCUGGAAAAAACCGGUAUCGAAAAAAACCGGUACCGGUUUCAACCGGUUCGGUAAAAAACCGAAAAAAUCGAAUUUUUUGAGCACCCCUACGACCAACUGGCUCCCUGUUCCCUUUUCUUCAUCUCUAAUCCUCCUACCCAACUUUUGCACAAAUUUGUAUGAUCUUCAACUAUUUAUUUGGGUCGUUAGUAUUUAAUUUUUGUAGGUUGUCUGAUGAGGAAAGAUAAAGUUAAAACAUUGUAUCCCUAAAACAUUGUGAUGAAUUGAUGAAAAGGGAUAUAUAUAUAUAAAUAUAUAUAUAUAUAUAUAAAUAUAUAUAUAUAUAUAUAAAUCAUGUAGUUAUCAUAUUAAUAUGUCGCAAGUUGUUGAUUGUGUAAAGCAUAAUUAUGGUGUUGUGGGCAUUAUUAGUCGGGCGGGGUAGUCUUACACUAAAGUAAUGUUUCGACUACAUCAGUUGCCUGGCUGACAGGUUUUUGUUUCUUACUGAUAGUGAUAGACAUCCAGUUGAGAUGAUAUUGUCUAGUAUACUACAAUGUAUAAACUGACUGUCAUUUAUUGUUGGUAGUCUUGCACCGACUCAAGUAAUGUUUCGAUGAUAUUGUUACUACAAUGUAUAAACUGUCUAUCACGUAUUGUUAGAACCAAUUAUCUAUUACAUUAGGUACUAGAUCUUAUGAUUAAUUAGAUGCAUGCCAACAAAUUGAAGCUAGAAAAGGCUUUUUUAGUAUAUCAGUAUAUGGAUCAUGUCUGUGUAGUACAUGUAGGAAGAAAGUUUUAUUUUUAAAUUGUUGUUGUAAAUCAUGAAUGUUGUCCUCACAGUGUUAGCUAUCUGUGGAAAGCGAAAAUCAUGCAUCCCUAUCAUUUUAGUCAAGAUCUUAUGAUUCCAAAGAUUGACGAGCAGUAAUGUUUUUGAUGAUAUUUUCUAGUUCUUGUACAAGUUAAUGGUUGAACAAGCAAAGCCUUCAUUUAUUUAUAAUUAAGACUAUAGAUGUCAGAUACCUUAAAUAGCUUGAUUGCAAAAGAUGUGCAGUUUGUUUUCUUUAUCAUAAUACGAAACAAUGAACAAUAUUGUUAGGUAGGAAGGAGAAGCGACUAUAUUAGAUAGUCAUUGAUUUCAUACUAUGCUAGUAAAUAGUAUGAAAUCAGUUUUCUUGGUCUUAUGUUUAGAAUGCAUGCAUUCAUUUCAUAUAUUUGACAUGCAUUCCAUGUACUGCUACCUGUCUGCAAUGUUCUAAAAGGCGCUAGGCGGGCGGCUAGGGGGGGCCUAGCGCCUAGCGGGCCUAGGCGGAGCCGGGAUUUUUUUAUUUUAAGUCAAUUUUAAUAUUUUAAUUUACGUUUAUCCAAACAAAACAAUAAUAUAAAGCAAAAUAAUAUAUGAUAAAGAUAAUAAAGACAUUUGCUUAAAGAUCAAACACAUCUAUAUUGCUGCUAAUGUCAAAAUUCAAAAACAAACAUGCAAUUGUUCAAAGUUCAAAUAUAUUUUUAAUGUAUUAGUUUUAUUUAUAAAUUUAUAAACAAGAUUGUUAUUAAAUAAUAAAAUUUAAAAUUUCAAGAAUUUAAUUCUAUAUUAAAACUUAAGAAACUAAACAUAAAUUUAAGAAUUAUAGUGAAUUAAACUAAAUAUUACAAAUGUAUCAUCAUUUAUAUAAUUUGAAGUUGGUUCAAGUUCAAAAAAUUACAACUAUAAUAAAAUUAUCCAUUUUGACUUGAUAUUGUUCACUUCUUGUUGUGAUUUGAUAUGCUACAACAUGUAUUAUGAAUAUGGUAAAUCAUUAAAAAAAUAAAUAUAUCAAGAUCUGGUUUGGGUAGUUAUUAAAAUAAAAAAAAUCUCUUCGCAUAGACCCCGCAUAGGCCCCACCUAAUUUUCUCGAGGGAUUUUUUUGCCGCCUUGAGCCUAGGUGAGGCAAUUGGGGGGCCUAGCGCCUAGGCGGGGCGCCAAGGGGGGCCUAGCGCCUAGGCGGGGUCUAGGCGGACCUAGGCGGGGAUUUUUAGAACAGUGCCUGUAGGAUGCAUGUCCAUGUACUGCUACCUAUAGGAUGUUGAUGUCGAGGAUGGGCAUGAUGAAGAUUCAGGCGAUGGUAACGAGGUUGUUGACUUGUGAUUAUAUAUGCAUGUUGAUCUUGUAAGUAAUAUUUUUUAGAAGUUACUUUUAUUUACCAUCAUGGAUGAAGACGUGUGAUUAUGAAUAUUUUUGAGUUAUAAAUUUGUAGUUUUUAGAAGUUACUUUUGAUGUAUUUGGUGAGACUUGUAGUACGUUAUCUUUUAUAGGAUAUUUGUAAUAGUACUCAUGACAAAUAUCUUAUCUAGUAUUGUCUAUAAAUAACAGUUUAGUAAUUAUCAUUAUUACUUUGAUCAUAUUUAUUUUUUAGAUUUCGAAAUUAAAUUAUGAAAAUAUUUGUAAUUUGUUGGUAAUAAAUAUAUUGAUACGACUUCUUUCCGUCUCAAAAAAUGUGCAAUAUUGAUGCCAAAGUUGACACGGAUUUUGAGACGGCUAAAAAGAUAUUAGUGCUAAAGUUAAAACGGAAUUGAGACAGAUGGUUUCCGUCUCAAAAUAUACGCAAGCUACCAAUUUUGAUACGGAAUUGAGACUAUGUUUUACGUCUCAAAUUACAGUACUAAAAAAGGGCGCCAAUUUUGCCUGCCAAAAUUGAAACCGGCAAAAUCGGUUUCAAAAUUCAGCUCCCAUGGGUCAGUUUUGAAACGGAUUUGAGACGGAUAGUGUUCGUAUCUAAUGUUUUGGGAUGGGGCAGUUUUUCGUAUCUAAUUUUUUUAGACGGAUUUUGGGACGGAAAAAAUUAUCGACGCAACCUACUGACAUGAAAAAAAUUCGUCUCAAAUUCAAUUCUGAGAAGGAUUUUACUAUAUUUGAGACGGAUUUUUCCGUCGCAGAUGCCCAGAUUUUUGGUAGUAUGGGUUCCUUGCGGUAUAUGAAUGUUUCCUGCUACUUAUUAAGGUUUUGCACAGUUUUUGCAUUUUCUUCUGGGUUCGUUUGGCAAUUAGCAGUUAGAAAAGCGUAAUGUAUGAAUUAAGGAAAUGUAAAUAGCAUCAAGCUACUAACAGUACUAGACCUCCAACAAUUCGAGGUAGACAUCUUCAUUAGCAUUUUGGGCUAUGGCAAUGGCAAUGGCUAUGGCUAUGGCUUAUUAGUUGGUGAAAGUAAAUUUGUACGACUACAAAUACGUGCUCUGAUUCUUACAUGAUUUGGUAUUUAUUGGCAGUAAUUGGAGAUCGAGGACUCGUGGCCCAGAGGUUGGAUCAUAUCUUUUCUAACUUCCCCAUUUUAGCUUCACCAGAUCCAUCUAAGUUAGUCCCUAUCCCUAUCUCUAUCUCUUGCUCCCAUUAUAUUCAAUCAAAUUUAUACAUACAUUCCUUGCUUAUAUGAUAAAUUUAUAUAUUGGAGAAUAGAUCCUGUCCGGUCUCCCGGAAAGGCUAAAAUUACAGACCACAAAUUAUUAUUAUUAUUUUUUUUUGAAAACAACUAAAAAAAAAUAAAAAAAUUAUGGAACUUGGAUUUUUACAUAAUACAUUGUUUUGGGUGUGAUUUGGAUACAUAUAACAAAAAAUGUAUGUACAGACUGUACAUACAUUUUUAGUUUUUUAGUUGUUUUCAAAAAAAAAAAAAAGGUCUGGAUUUUAUCAGGUCCGGGAGUCCGGACCUGAUCCGGCCUCUUAUAUAUUGUUCUUUUAGUUUUUUAGAGUAGUAGGUGUUGGGGGGAAAUUUUCAACAUUAAGUGUAUUGAAGUCGGCUUAAAAAUAUAUAUCUAGUUCAAUUUAUUAGAGUAGGAGUUAUAUUUCGUUUGUAGAUCAUUUCAAACUGUAAUGCUAUGUUUGGAUUGAAGGAAUGAAGGUGAAAAUGGAGCGACUCAUUCCCAUGGAAUGGAAAAUUUGUGCUUGGUUGUUCCAUCGGAAUGGAAUAAAUUAUUCUCAUUCCUACCAAAUUUAUGAAUUUUAUUACUUGGGUGAGGGUAUGGAAUGACUGGAAUGAAUCAUUCCACUCACUUAAUUCCAUUCCUUCAAUCUCAACGUAGCAUAAGAGUAUUAAAGUCAAUUGUUUUAUAAAAUUUACUUCCUUUUCUAACAUUGUUCAUUUAUCAGUUCGUUAGCGAGGUAACUGUGUUGGGGCACACAACUACAAAUUCUUCCUUUUUUCUCGUGGCAAUUUUCACUUUCUUUAGUGUGAUAGUUUAAUGGACAAGUUGAACUUUAGUCAUAAACAAGACACUUUCACCAUUUGGUUUAGUGGAUUUAUAUUUCUAUUUUCAUAUUUGUUUUUUAUAACUUCCCGUAUUUAUAAAUUAAUCACAUUGCAAGCAUUCUAAUAAUGAAUUGCUUAUAAAGAUCCAUACACUACAGUUAUCACAUAAUUAAAAUUAAUAUCAGCAAUGCAUUCAAAGUAGUACUCUUUUUUAUAUGGUCACUAGAACUGGCUGCUUUUUAGACUGUGACAUGUACUUCUACAUAAUGACUUUGUCUUCAAACCUUACUAUAUCAGAUUGUUUGUAUUUGAAAAGUAAUUCUUUUCUUGGAACUUCAGUAAAAGUUUUAGGUACCAUAUGCUUAAUGAAAUGAUCCAACUUGAUAUGCUUAAAAGGUUGCCUUCUGAAUGUGUCACAUGGCUAUUAGCAGUUUCAAAUUGAAAUACAUGGUUAAUAAUGCGACACCACUCAGUGGCAGACUUCUUAUCCGCCAACUUUUCAUGAAAGAAUUUCUGUUAUUUGAAUUGUGGCAUAUACUCCUCCAUUCGAUUUGGAUGACAUCAGACUGCACAUAGUUUAAGAAAUUUUGGAAACUAGGUGAUCUAUUCUUAGGUAGUUAUAAAAUGAGUACAUACUAUAACAGUCUUAGGGGUGGUAUCACUUAUAUAACUCUUUUGUCUUUUUUCUUAUUUUAUCCAAAUACCUUUUAACAAAUUUAUUGAAGCAGUAGUUGUUUUCUUAGUUGUACACGUUUCUGGAGACGACAAUGGAUACACUUGUAUUGCUUCCUAGUUUCAUAGACUUCUUUCAAGAAACCAAACAUCAUUCCAUCUCACCCAACAAUCUUGUCGUCACAUUUUUGGCUUUUGGUAUACUUUCUAUCAUAUAUUUCAAAAAUUAUUCACAAUCUCCAAUUACUAUUUCUGCAUUCUAAUUGUCUGCCUGUUUCUUACAGAUUUUAUACCUUGAUGCAGUUUUAAACUUGGAUUUGCACCAAGUCAUCUUUGUUUCAUAAUUAUGCAUGCAUCUCUUAUCUUAAGCAACACCAUUUUGGUAGAGGUAAUUAAACACUGACCAACUUUGUGUUGCUCUUCCUCCGUAAAGAAUUAUUAGCAAAUAUAAUUUUCUCAUUCUGGUGUAAUGGGAAGAUAGGAGUUGCCCUGCAGUGGAAAUAUGACUUGGACCAAAGAAAAAUUUUGGGCAGGUAGGACUUGUUUGACAAUUUUUUUAAGAAGUUAUUCCUGUUUUCUUUUAGUGCAAUGGAUGAAAGUCAAGGAUGAAAAGACAAUCAACGAGUGACUUUUAAGUCAAAAAUGUAAAUAGAAUACAUGUAUUACCAGUCUUUUGUAAGAAUCAUUGUUCUGAGUAGUUCUCAUGAAAUUAUACACUAUUAAUAUUUGUGAUUCAAAUUAUUACAGUUAGAGCACAAAAUCUCCAUAGGAUAAUUUUCAAUUUCCAAAGUUCAAAAUGUAUACCCUGAACUUAAAUUUCUUUGAAAUACUUUGCCUUGCAAUAUUUGAUAUCGGAUCCAAC
rnacentral:lncRNA from 1 species